rnacentral:sRNA from 2 species
AUGUACCCACGUACAUUCCGGUUCCUCCGCGCCGUCCGCACCCACCUGACGACUGCUCGCUACGGUUUGUUAGCC